rnacentral:piRNA from 1 species
UGGAAUAAAAUUUCAAACUUCUGGGCUGGA